UCUCCGUAGGUGAACCUGCGGAGGGAUCAUUACUGAGUGAGGGCCUUCGGGCUCGACCUCCAACCCUUUGUGAACACAACUUGUUGCUUCGGGGGCGACCCUGCCGUUUCGACGGCGCGCGCCCCCGGAGGCCAUCAAACACUGCGUCAAUUUGCGUCGGAGUCUUGAUUAAAAUCAAAACAAAACUUUCAACAACGGAUCUCUUGGUUCUGGCAUCGAUGAAGAACGCAGC
rnacentral:misc_RNA from 1 species